rnacentral:rRNA from 1 species
AACACGUGGAUAACCUGCCCUAAGGAAGGGGAUAACCCCGGGAAACUGGGGAUAAUACCCUAUAGGUUACAGAUGCUGGAAUGCCCUGUAACCCAAAGCUCCGGCGCCUUAGGAUGGAUCUGCGGCCGAUUAGGUUGUUGUUGGGGUAACGGCCCAACAAGCCAGUAAUCGGUACGGGUUGUGGGAGCAAGAGCCCGGAGUUGGAUUCUGAGACACGAAUCCAGGCCCUACGGGGCGCAGCAGGCGCGAAAACUUUACAAUGCGGGCAACCGUGAUAAGGGAACCUCGAGUGCCUGUACAUGCAGGCUGUUCGGGUGUCUAAAACACACCUGAAGAAAGGGCCGGGCAAGACCGGUGCCAGCCGCCGCGGUAAUACCGGCGGCUCGAGUGGUGGCCACUUUUAUUGGGCUUAAAGCGUUCGUAGCUGGGUUGUUAAGUCUCUUGGGAAAUCUGACGGCUCAACCGUCAGGCGUCUAAGGGAUACUGGCAAUCUUGGAACCGGGAGAGGUGAGGGGUACUUCGGGGGUAGGAGUGAAAUCCUGUAAUCCUCGAGGGACCACCUGUGGCGAAGGCGCCUCACCAGAACGGCUUCGACAGUGAGGGACGAAAGCUGGGGGAGCAAACCGGAUUAGAUACCCGGGUAGUCCCAGCCGUAAACGAUGCGCGUUAGGUGUAUCGGUGACCACGAGUCACCGAGGUGCCGAAGGGAAACCGUGAAACGUGCCGCCUGGGAAGUACGGUCGCAAGGCUGAAACUUAAAGGAAUUGGCGGGGGAGCA